rnacentral:rRNA from 1 species
GGGGAAUAUUGCGCAAUGGGGGAAACCCUGACGCAGCAAUACCGCGUGAGUGAAGAAGGUUUUCGGAUCGUAAAGCUCUGUUAUUGGGGAAGAAAAAAAGACGGUACCCAAGAAGAAAGUCCCGGCUAACUACGUGCCAGCAGCCGCGGUAAUACGUAGGGGACAAGCGUUGUCCGGAUUUACUGGGCGUAAAGGGCACGCAGGCGGUUUUUUAAGUCAGAUGUGAAAGGUACCGGCUCAACCUCGGGCCUGCAGUGGGUACGGGCAGACUAGAGUGCGGUAGGGGAGACCGGAAUUCCUGGUGUAGCGGUGGAAUGCGCAGAUAUCAGGAGGAACACCGAUGGCGAAGGCAGGUCUCUGGGCCGCAACUGACGCUGAGGAGCGAAAGCAUGGGUAGCGAACA